rnacentral:rRNA from 1 species
AAAGCGGAACUCUUGGUGUAACGGUGGAAUGUGUAGAUAUCAAGAGGAACUCCGGUGGCGAAGGCGGCUUUCUGGAGGCACACUGAGGCUCAGGCGCGAAAGCGUGGGUAGCAAACAGGAUUAGAUAGCGUGGUAGUCCACGCCAUUAACGAUGGGUACUAGGUGUCGGGGGUAUCGACCCCUCCGGUGCCGCAGUUACCGCACUAAGUACCCCGCCUGGGGAUUAUGGUCGCAAGGCUGAAACUCUAAGGAAUUGACGGGGCCCCGCACAAGCGGUGGAGCAUGUGGUUUAAUUCGACGCAACGCGAAGAACCUUACCCGGGCUUGACAUGCUUGGGACAGCGCUGGAAACAUAGUCUCUCCUUCGGGAGCCCUUGCACAGGUGACACAUGGCUGUUGUCACCUCGUGUCGUGAGAUGUUGGGUUAAGUCUCGCAACGAGAGCAACCCUACGUUACUAGUUGCCAUCAGUUCGGCUGGGCACUCUAGUGAGACUGCCGGUGCUAAUCCGGAGGAAGGUGAGGAUGAUGUCAAGUCAUCAUGGCCCUU